UCACCCAAAAGAAAAAGAAUUACAACCAUGGCCCGAGGGCCUCCACCCGACCUAUUCUGCCCCAGAUCGAACCCUUCCACCAAAUCGAACCCUCGCUCCUCCUCGACCGCCGCCGUCGCCGCCCCCACCCCUAUGCCGUUGGCCACACCCUCUCUCUUGGCUGAUCUGUGCAACCCCAUCGGGAUCUAUGGCGGCAGUGCUUGGAUCUCGGCGUCGCCUCCCUCCAGACGCAUCUGGUGUGCGAGAUCAAAGUCGCCUCCCUCCCUUCGACACCACCACCAGAACUGCUCGACACCGCCGGUCGCCUCCCUCUCUUCUACACGGCGACGAGCAUGGGUGGAUUCCCCUCAUGGCUUCCUCCCCGCGAACGGCGACGCGGUGCCUCCUCUCCACUAUGCACGUACAACACGCUCCUUAGAUCUGUCCUGGUGGAAACUCGAUGAGGUGCUAUUAGGGAAAGGAUUGGAGACUGGUUCUAGUAGUGGUUGGUUUGUUGGAGGAUUUUCUAGUGCUCAUGAUUUGCAAAUGGUUCAGCCAGGAUUAAACAUGUAAUAUCUUUUGCGGCAUUUUUGUUAGCCUAUGCCUCGCUCUUCUUAGACAACAAUACUAGCAGUUAAGUACUGGCGUCUAGCAACCUUGAAGCCCACAGUCGACCUGUAGGCCACAUCUCUCUCAGGUACAAUAAAAAGAUCGCAGUUAACUUGAUGGGUGUAUCAUUAUUGAUGCCUCCUAAUUUGUGUGAUGAGAAAAUGUGUAGAUUGUGUGUGUAAAUCGGAUAUGCCUUGGGUUAUCCUCCAUAAUAACUCGAGUUUGUAAUGUUGUUUCGCAAGAGUUGAUUUCUAUAUGUGUUGCAAAAUGUGUUGUUAGAGUAAGAGGAUUUAAGUUUCGUGUGCUAGCCACUAUGACCUAUGAAGAUGGAUUGGUAGUUUUUUGUUAACUAAACAAUAUGACAUCAGUCUUUAUGCCUUUUUAUGGGCAAGUGAUUCCUGCAAUUAGUUACUCCCUCCUUUGGGUGUACAUGAUUUGCUUGUCACUCAAAACACUUGUUAUGGCACACUUACUGGUGAGAAAUCCAUAUGCCUGAUGCCUGAAGUAAAAAAAUGUACGAAUUUUAGUUCUUUUUUCAUUGUUUCAAAGUUUCAGCCUGACCAGUGACAUGUCUAUGUUUUUUACAGUGUUGCAUGAUGUGCUAUAAGGCAAGGCAGAUGAUCUUCUUUUCUCCAUUGUCCAACAUUGAAGCUUUUCUUGCCCAUCAGCACACAUCUCAUUUAGGUUCAUUUCCUAUAUACUAGUUAGAAACUGCUUCAUACUUGCUCUAGGUGUACUUUGAUUAGUGUAAUCUCCUUGCCCCAUCAUCGACAAGGUUAUAUGAUUACGAGAGCUUAAUAAAUUCUGUGAUACGUGUUCAUUUAUUAACUAAAUCAUCAGCUUGCUCAAUAAUACUUUUAGGUACCCUAGUGUGCUUAUGGCUGAUGAAAUACGCUUUGUUUAAUAGGAUUGGAGACAUUUCUGAUGCUUCGGUGAAAACACCAGACCUAUUGUAAACUCAGUCCAGUAAUACAAGUUAGCAUUUUGUCUUAAUCAUUCUUGGAACUAAAAAGGAAACCUUCUUCUUGUUUGUUCUACACCACUAAUCUGUUUAGCCAUCCUUGAGAAAGGCUCGAUGGUUAGACAUGAAAACUUUAUUUGUUUUCUCCUUUUGCUUCUCUGGUUUAUUUUAAAUUUAAUCUAGGUUUGGCUGUUUGCAAUUGAAAAAAAUGUUCUUCAGGGCUUCCUGCAAAUGUUGUUAGGUACUGUACAACCAGAAAUUUAGAAGGGAAUCACAUUAUUGAAAAGGGUUGACAGGAAUGGAGCAUCACUGCUUAGCACGUCUACAGAAAAAGUGGGCUUCGUAUGUACAAUUGUGCAUAUAGCUUAGGUGAACGAUUUCUGAUUUGCCGAACUCUCUUUAUUGUUAAGAUAAGGGGAAUAACUAUAUAAUGCUAACAUUUCCAUUACUCCUAUAACUAUUGAAUCUAAUUAGAUCUGUUUUUAUUCUCGUGUUUGCCUCCUAUGAAAAAUGAGGUUGGGUACUAGUGUGUAAAUAGGUAGAGUGAUAAAAAGUGAUUGCUUCCUUGUGGAUCUGUUUUUACAUUGUAAAAAUUUAUUUUUAUUCUCAUGAAUAUUGUAGUAUUUUGUGUGUAUAAUAAAAAGUGAUUGCUUCCUUGUGGAUCACGUGCUAAUGUACCCCUUUAUACCAUUUUUAUUUAUCUUUAGACUAAUUUAACAUGUCUUAUCUUUCUAUAAAUAUAAAGUUUAUUUGCAGAUGAUAAGUCUUGUGAUUGUGCGCCUUCAGCUCCUUUUAUAUGCCUUCAAGUACCUGGCACACAGUUAUUAUGAGCCAAUGAUAAUUGAACUCCACACUGCUUUUGUUCCACUUGGCCUUCGUUUCACUCUUGCGCCAGCGGCGCAAUGGGUGGAAUCUAGUGUACAAAAGAGUGAACAUGUAAUUUGUCUUCCUGGACAUGGCUGUAGCCAUGCGCUGUGCAUAGCCAUUUGUGUAGCUCAGUUUGAAGAUACAAAAUAUUGUUUUCUUAUGUAAAUUUUGUGUACCAUUGUAGCUGAAUGCUACUGAACACAUGUAUGGAUGUGGAAGUACAAAAUUAUCAGUCUAUGAAUGUUUCUAAACUUUAAGGUUU